rnacentral:rRNA from 1 species
GACAGAGGGUGCAAACGUUGCUCGGAAUUACUGGGCGUAAAGCGCACGUAGGCGGAUUGUUAAGUCGGGGGUGAAAUCCUGGAGCUCAACUCCAGAACUGCCUUCGAUACUGGCGAUCUCGAGUCCGGGAGAGGUGAGUGGAACUGCGAGUGUAGAGGUGAAAUUCGUAGAUAUUCGCAAGAACACCAGUGGCGAAGGCGGCUCACUGGCCCGGUACUGACGCUGAGGUGCGAAAGCGUGGGGAGCAAACAGG